CUACGGGUUGCAGCAGUGGGGAAUAUUGCACAAUGGGCGCAAGCCUGAUGCAGCCAUGCCGCGUGUAUGAAGAAGGCCUUCGGGUUGUAAAGUACUUUCAGCGGGGAGGAAGGGAGUAAAGUUAAUACCUUUGCUCAUUGACGUUACCCGCAGAAGAAGCACCGGCUAAGUCCGUGCCAGCAGCCGCGGUAAUACGGAGGGUGCAAGCGUUAAUCGGAAUUACUGGGCGUAAAGCGCACGCAGGCGGUUUGUUAAGUCAGAUGUGAAAUCCCCGGGCUCAACCUGGGAACUGCAUCUGAUACUGGCAAGCUUGAGCCUGGUAGAGGGGGGUAGAAUUCCAGGUGUAGCGGUGAAAUGCGUAGAGAUCUGGAGGAAUACCGGUGGCGAAGGCGGCCCCCUGGACGAAGACUGACGCUCAGGUGCGAAAGCGUGGGGAGCAAACAGGAUUAGAUACCCUCGUAGUC
rnacentral:rRNA from 1 species